ACAUGGGCUGUAAUUUAGUUCAAUUCAGAACUGCAGAUAGUACAGCUUCCACAGGAGCAAGGGAUGUCUGAGCACAAGUGGCUGAGUUCCGAGUGACUUUAUGAAGCACUUUUACCUUCCUCUCCGGCAUGAAAACAGGGAUUCUGCACCUGCAUCAUGGACAGUCUGGCAAAAGCCUCUGCUCUGCCUCCGGGGACAAGAAACUAGAGCAAAUAACCAUUUUGAAAUUAGAUUCUGGCAACAUUACCAACAAUCAAUGGUGGAAACUGAAGGCAGAUUGAUUUAAAUCUUCAAUGACAGUUGUACAGAAGUUGAAGAAACAUGUCAUGUUUCCAAAGAAAAGUGAGUAGCUUGGUUGGUGGUACCCUAAAAUUAGGGCAUCAUUAAGGUACGUCAUUUCUUUUAGUUCAAUCAAAGGGCUUUGCUGUUUCAAUUGUGGAGAAUUUCUUCUUCUUUUCUUCAAUCUCUCUCUCUUCCUCUUCUUCCUCUCAUUAGUAGAUGUCUUUUAUAAUUGAUGUCAUUUACUGUCCUUUCAUCAAAUGUAUGCCACAUCACUUAGGCGAACCAGCAGACAGGGCACCAAAAUACACAUUAGAGGAGACUGGCUUCCAUGAGACGCUUCGACUGUCUCAUCGGGGCACUUGUAAUAAGCAUCUUGGUGCCACUGAAUGCAAUGCUGUAUUCAAAUAAUAGCUUUCAUCUUCACUCUUUUUAAAUAUAAAAGUAAACCCUGAAGCCCUUUGAAGGACCUAACCAAACAACAUACCUAUGAAAAUAGAUCAGUAAGGCUUUGAGAAACAUUCUUGAGUAAAAUCUGUAAAGCAUCUUUGCAUUUUUUUUCAAGAAAGACUUCCAGGUAAAUGAUGGCUUUUAAUAAGACAUAUGACAAUCACAAUUACAAGAAUCAUUAAUGUGUGUCCUGUGUGCUAUUUUAUGUUCCCAGCAGGAUAUAUCUUUUCUCAUCUAGGGUUUCCAGGGCUGUCUACUGUUCUCUAUGUGUAAAACGUAUUUAAGUGUUCUCCCAAUGCUGCAAUAAUGUUGAAACAAAACAAAACAAAAACGAAAAAACCUUUGUCAAGUGGUCAGACAGACUGGAACUAGAGGAUUAUAGGUAAGAGAGAUAAAAUGAAGGGUUGAAAGCUAUAAUUUCUAUUUAUGUGGUGGCAACCAAAUCAGCUGUUGGAGUCAGGCAAUUUAAAGAUGUGGCUACUGGAGCUCAGAGUCUGGGAAGAAGACACUUCUGCGUCUGACAGUGAAUCAGGCUCCCAGUUUUGAAGAUGUACUGUAGGUGAUUCCUCGCUGAAUCCAUUUCCCACUUAGUUUCUAUUCUCCGACCCAUUGCUGUGUCCCCACACUUUCCACUUGAUUUUAUCUCUUUGACAAUUCUAUAUUUUACUUUCGUUCCUCUCAUUCCCCUUUUCCCAGUUGUUUUUCUUUUCUUUUUUUUUUUUUUUAACUGUAGUUUCUUGGCCUCUGACUACUGUUCCAUGCUGGAUGUCCCCAGAAAACAGAGUAUGUUUAGAAAGGAGACAGUGCAUCUCAGAAGUCCCCUGUCCACUAGUUCAUGUUUGAAGGUGUUGUGCUCUAUGGGUAUCAGAAACAUUUGUAGAUGAAAUAAUUUGAGGCAUGAAUUUUGAUAGAAGCAGGAUCACCAAUGAAAUGAUAAAUGUAGGUACCUGUUUACCUUGCAUAAUAUUCACUAUGAUUUUGAGAAUUUCAAUGUAUAAUUUGUCUUUACUCUUAUUUUUCAUUAGAAUUAACAGAAUCUCAGAGCUGGUAGAAAGUAUAGAAACUGUAUAUACAACUCUCAUAUUCAGAUGAAGAAAAUGACGCACAGAAAAUCAACUGUCCUAAGCCAUUCAGCUUGUCUAUAAGUGCUGUUGGCUUAAUUAUAGUUUUGCAUAUAUUUAGGCGAAGGGAAUACUUUCUCAGAAACUGGUUAGAACUGUUUGAGAAGAAAUAUAAUCAUCAAAAUAUAUCCACAGUAAAAUGUAACCAUCCAUCAUUCAACAUAGGCAAGAAUAUGUAUUGAAUUGCCUGAGUGUAUUAUUCAUAUAGCAAAACUUACCUGAAUUGCUAAUAAAUCUCCUGAUCUCUGUAUAUGUAUAAAAUACAUAAACCCAACCAAAUUCUGUACAUAAAUAAAUAUUAAUUUUGGAUACCAGUACAAUCCCUAUUUUACUUUUGUGUAUUCCAGUUAUUUAUUACUCACAGUUCUAUAGUUUUAACCAGAACAAAGGGAUUAUCCAGAAGAAAAGAAGGUAAGCUAUUUCAUCAGUUUCGUUGGAAAUCAGAAGUUUUUUUUUUUCUAUUAUUAGCUUUGUAUUCUUAAAAAAGAAAAAAGAAGGGAAAAAACUCUCAUCUUCUCAUUCAUAAGAAUUCCCAUAAAAAUUGUCAGUGGUGAGGUGGGGAGGAAAUGCAUUACCAAUAAACAGCUAGAUCCUACUAUUGGGGACACUCAGUUUUAUUCUACAGAAAAUAUGGUUUGUUCUUGAAGAUGUAAUAGACAUAAUAUUUUUAAACAUAUUAAAUAUGCCAGUAAAUAUUUUUGUUAAACAAGGCUUUUAAAAUUUAAAUUACACCCCUAAACUGGCUUUCUAGUUUUUCUAGAGAAAUAAAGCAAUUUUAAAGGAAAUAGCCGCUCAGAUUAGUAUUUCAAAUAUCAUACAAAGUGUAUGUGGUGAUAUUACUGAAAAUGAGGAUUUUUGAAAACUAAAAAAGCAAAAAGUCAUUGCUCUGAAAGCCUUCAAGACUGCCUUAAGGUUUACAAUGCAAGUCUUAGAUGUAUUUAGGUAAUCAUAAUUUGAUUAGCUUUCUAAUUCUAAACAUAUUUUGACUCAAAUGUUUAAAAUAUGGUCAUCUAUUCAGUUAAAGAUGAACAUUUUGAUGAAAUAGCAAUACUUAAAGGGUUCUCCAUUUCCACAAUUAAGUGCUACCUAUUAUUUAUUCAGAGCAUAUGUUUCAGUCUCAAAACACUGAAGACAUAUCUCAGUGAAAUAAAAAUAAUUUUUUUUUUUUUAAGAAAUCAGAAUAUGUGGCAGUCGGCAGGCUUAAUUUGUAUUUUAUAGGCUCCAAAUUCAGAUGAAUAUUAUCAAGAUCUGAAUUGUCUCAAUGGCUGUCAUAAUUCAAACAAUAAUGUCAAAAAUAUAAACUAGUAUCAUAUAAUUAAUUUGUAUAUAUGGAAAAUUGAAU